UACGUAGGGUGCAAGCGUUAAUCGGAAUUACUGGGCGUAAAGCGUGCGCAGGCGGCUUUGCAAGACAGAUGUGAAAUCCCCGGGCUCAACCUGGGAACUGCAUUUGUGACUGCAAGGCUGGAGUACGGCAGAGGGGGAUGGAAUUCCGCGUGUAGCAGUGAAAUGCGUAGAGAUCGGGAGGAACACCUGUGGCGAAGGCGGCCCCCUGGGCCGGCCCUGACACUGAGACGCGAAGGCGUGGGGAGCGAACGGG
rnacentral:rRNA from 1 species